CCUACGGGAGGCAGCAGUAGGGAAUCUUCCACAAUGGGCGAAAGCCUGAUGGAGCAACGCCGCGUGGGUGAAGAAGGUCUUCGGAUCGUAAAACCCUGUUGUUAGAGAAGAAAGUGCGUGAGAGUAACUGUUCACGUUUCGACGGUAUCUAACCAGAAAGCCACGGCUAACUACGUGCCAGCAGCCGCGGUAAUACGUAGGUGGCAAGCGUUAUCCGGAUUUAUUGGGCGUAAAGGGAACGCAGGCGGUCUUUUAAGUCUGAUGUGAAAGCCUUCGGCUUAACCGGAGUAGUGCAUUGGAAACGGGGAGAAUUGAGUGCAGAAGAGGAGAGUGGAACUCCAUGUGGAACGGGUAAAUGCGGAGAUAAAUGGAAGAACACCAGUGGCGAAAGCGGCUCUCUGGUCUGUAACUGACGCUGAGGUUCGAAAGCGGGGGUAGCAAACAGGAUUAGAUACCCUGGUAGUC
rnacentral:rRNA from 1 species